AAACAGUUUGGUAACAUGCAUGUAAAGUGAAUUUGUCAUUCAUCACCAUGGGGAAAGGCAAGGAACUCUAAUGUUUAGCCUUCCUAAAUCAGGGAGAAUCAAAACCUGUGGGACAGCGGUAAACCUACAUGGAAGAGGAAAGGUUGCAGGAAAAUGCUUCUGAGGGCAACCAACAAAUGUGUCUGGAGUUAAAUGGCUUUGGGAUGGGGAACCAGGUGCUAGGAAAUGAAAUAGAGUUAUUUGGUAACACAUGAGUGGUGGCUUUGGUGUCGAAAGAAGGAUGCAUAUGCAGAACAGAACCCUGUACCUGCUGUAACAUUGAUUGGCUCUCAUUAUGGAGCCAAUCAAUGGGAAAACUGCCAAACCGUCAGGCCUGAGCUUUUUUGUAGGUCAUCUUAAUCAGAGGAGCCAGCAUUUUGGAGGUGACUGCGUUAUGUACGGGCAUUCCACCUGGAAAGGAUGUGAAUGUUAAUCAACACAGGAAGACGUCGCACAAUAGGACGGUUAAAACCGGCUUCCUCUACUGACAGCGGCCUACUGUCCCCUGAAGACAUGUU
ensembl:lncRNA